CAACGCCGCGUGAGGGAUGAAGGCCUCUGGGCUGUAAACCUCUUUUAUCAAGGAAGAAGAUCUGACGGUACUUGAUGAAUAAGCCACGGCUAAUUCCGUGCCAGCAGCCGCGGUAAUACGGGAGUGGCAAGCGUUAUCCGGAAUUAUUGGGCGUAAAGCGUCCGCAGGCGGCCCAACAAGUCUGCUGUUAAAAGGUGGAGCUUAACUCCAUCAUGGCAGUGGAAACUGUUGGGCUCGAGUGUGGUAGGGGCAGAGGGAAUUCCCGGUGUAGCGGUGAAAUGCGUAGAUAUCGGGAAGAACACCAGUGGCGAAGGCGCUCUGCUGGGCCAUCACUGACGCUCAUGGACGAAAGCCAGGGGAGCGAAAGGGAUUAGAUACCCCUGUAGUCCUGGCCGUAAACGAUGAACACUAGGUGUCGGGGGAAUCGACCCCUCCGGUGUCGUAGCCAACGCGUUAAGUGUUCCGCCUGGGGAGUACGCACGCAGUGUGAAACUCAAAGGAAUUGACGGGGGCCCGCACAGCCGUGGAGUAUGUGGUUUAAUUCGAUGCAACGCGAAGAACCUUACCAGGG
rnacentral:rRNA from 1 species